GGAGAAGGCAAGCGUUGUUCGGAAUCACUGGGCUUAAAGCGCGUGUAGGCGGGCCUGUUAGUCGGGUGUGAAAUCCCUCGGCUUAACCGGGGAACUGCACCCGAAACUGCGGGUCUUGAGUCAAUCAGAGGUCGAUGGAACUUCAGGUGGAGCGGUGAUAUGCGUAGAUAUCUGAAGGAACGCCAGUGGCGAAAGCGGUCGACUGGGAUUGCACUGACGCUGAGACGCGAAAGCGUGGGGAGCGAACGGGGGAUUAGAUACCCCGGUAGUCCACGCCGUAAACGAUGCACACUAGGCUGAGGGAGUUCUGACGCUUUCUCGGCCGUAGCGAAAGCGAUAAGUGUGCCGCCUGGGAGUACGGUCGCAAGGCUA
rnacentral:rRNA from 1 species